AUUGAACGCUGGCGGCAGGCCUAACACAUGCCAGUCGAACGGUAACAGGAAGAAGCUUGCUUCUUUGCUGACGAGUGGCGGACGGGUGAGUAAUGUCUGGGAAACUGCCUGAUGGAGGGGGAUAACUACUGGAAACGGUAGCUAAUACCGCAUAACGUCGCAAGACCAAAGAGGGGGACCUUCGGGCCUCUUGCCAUCGGAUGUGCCCAGAUGGGAUUAGCUAGUAGGUGGGGUAACGGCUCACCUAGGCGACGAUCCCUAGCUGGUCUGAGAGGAUGACCAGCCACACUGGAACUGAGACACAGUCCAGACUCCUACGGGAGGCAGCAGUGGGGAAUAUUGCACAAUGGGCGCAAGCCUGAUGCAGCCAUGCCGCGUGUAUGAAGAAGGCCUUCGGGUUGUAAAGUACUUUCAGCGGGGAGGAAGGGAGUAAAGUUAAUACCUUUGCUCAUUGACGUUACCCGCAGAAGAAGCACCGGCUAACUCCGUG
rnacentral:rRNA from 1 species